AGAGUUUGAUCCUGGCUCAGGAUGAACGCUAGCGGCAGGCUUAACACAUGCAAGUCGAGGGGCAGCGCGAGGUAGCAAUACUUUGGCGGCGACCGGCGAAAGGGUGCGUAACGCGUGAGCAACUUGCCCGUAUCUGGGACAUAAGCGGUGGAAACGUCGUCUAAUUUCCCAUAACAACAGAGGCCGCAUGACCUUUGUUUGAAAGAUCCGUCGGAUACGGAUGGGCUCGCGAGACAUUAGCUAGUCGGCGUGGUAACGGCACACCGAGGCGACGAUGUCUAGGGGUUCUGAGAGGAAGGUCCCCCACACUGGAACUGAGACACGGUCCAGACUCCUACGGGAGGCAGCAGUGAGGAAUAUUGGUCAAUGGGCGCAAGCCUGAACCAGCCAUGCCGCGUGAAGGAAUAAGGCCCUAUGGGUCGUAAACUUCUUUUGUGGUGGAGCAAUAAGGUGUACGUGUACACCGAUGAGAGUACAUCACGAAUAAGCAUCGGCUAACUCCGUGCCAGCAGCCGCGGUAAUACGGAGGAUGCGAUGCCGUGGGAGGAAUGAGUAGUGUAGCGGUGAAAUGCAUAGAUAUUACUCAGAACACCGAUUGCGAAGGCAUCUCACGAAUCCGUCAUUGACGCUGAGGCACGAAAGCGUGGGGAUCAAACAGGAUUAGAUACCCUGGUAGUCCACGCAGUAAACGAUGAUAACUAACCGUCGGCGAUACACAGUCGGUGGCCAAGCGAAAGCGAUAAGUUAUCCACCUGGGGAGUACGUUCGCAAGAAUGAAACUCAAAGGAAUUGACGGGGGCCCGCACAAGCGGAGGAACAUGUGGUUUAAUUCGAUGAUACGCGAGGAACCUUACCCGGGCUCGAAC
rnacentral:rRNA from 1 species